CGAACGGGUGAGUAAUGCGUGACCAACCUGCCCCAUGCUCCAGAAUAGCUCUUGGAAACGGGUGGUAAUGCUGGAUGCUCCAACUUGACGCAUGUCUUGUUGGGAAAGUGUUUAGUGGCAUGGGAUGGGGUCGCGUCCUAUCAGCUUGUAGGCGGGGUAAUGGCCCACCUAGGCUUCGACGGGUAGCCGGCCUGAGAGGGCGGACGGCCACAUUGGGACUGAGAUACGGCCCAGACUCCUACGGGAGGCAGCAGCCC
rnacentral:rRNA from 1 species